CGGGACAAGCAAGUCUACCCAUAAUUCCCUGUAUGACCGAGGGCGCCAUUUUGGAACACAAAUGUAAACAAACACUUAAACCUCGUGUAAUCGAUGUACACCGUGAUGCUUGAUUGCGAUAUGCUUACCUCGUGUAUCAAUACAUUGUUCUCAAUCACCUCUAACACGGAAAUCCCGGUCGAAAUGCACCUGAGCCAUACACAACGAGGACGUCAAGUAUUUCGAAAACUCGAUUGGCAGCCGAAGGAAGGAAGAGCAGCUUGCAGAUGCCAGCAUGUUCAGGGUUUGUGGGGAGGUUCACAGACAUCCUCAGGGAGGAUACCAAGUAUUGAAAUGUCCGGAUGAAUAAAAGAGACAGUCGUCUGUGCAGCAUCAAUGCAAAGAAAGACCAUAGAAGAGCAACAAAACUGAAGUCCUGCUUGAGAUCCCUGGAUGAGUACUCCAGGUUGACAGUCUGGAAGGACGAGACAAGGGAGUCCUAAACAGAGGAUGCACCCCUUCAGAUAUCAGAGGUGAUUUGCAGACAGCGAUGACGAGGGUCCUGUUAUUUCAAUGGAGGCCGACCGAGAAGUUGUAUGCCAAAUGGUACUGGGACACACAAAGGCUGGUCUGGCUAAUGUGAGAAGACCAACCAAUGCCAAGCUGGAGUGGAAUUCUUCCAGGACAUUCAGGAAAUUCUUGUCUUGAGCAAUAUGGUAAACACUUGAAAGGAAUGAUAAAUGGGACUUAUUGUCUUUAAAUGUGGACCCAAACACCAAAUGGAAAGUUCACAAUUCUACUAACACAAUGCAGCAGAGAUAGUCUAACUGGUAUCCCCUCAUCCUGGUUCCUGUUCAUCCAUGGCAAUAU
rnacentral:lncRNA from 1 species